CACGUAGGGACCAAGCGUUGUCCGGAUUUAUUGGGCGUAAAGAGCUCGUAGGCGGUUCGGUAAGUCCGAUGUGAAAGCUCUGGGCUCAACCCAGAAAUUGCAUCGGAUACUGUCGUGACUAGAGUCCGGUAGGGGAGUGGGGAAUUCCUGGUGUAGCGGUGAAAUGCACAGAUAUCAGGAGGAACACCGGUGGCGAAGGCGCCACUCUGGGCCGGUACUGACGCUGAGGAGCGAAAGCGUGGGUAGCAAACAGG
rnacentral:rRNA from 1 species